AGGGUGUAAACGCUGCAGACUUGGUGUUGGAAGUCCUUUGGGGGCAUUCAGUGCCGGAGAGAAGUUGUUAAGUCUGCUACUUGGGGAGUACGUCCGCAAGGAUGAAACUUAAAGGAAUUGGCGGGGGAGCACCGCAACGGGAGGAGCGUGCGGUUUAAUUGGAUUCAACACCGUAAACUCACCAGGGAAGACUGUUACAUGAAGGCCGAGAUGAAGACUCUGCCAGAUUUUCAGAGAGGUGGUGCAUGGCGUCAGUGACU
rnacentral:rRNA from 1 species